GGGGGGGCUGGCUCCAGGGGCCCGGGCCCGGGGGGGAGCCACGUGGGCAGGGUUUGGAUGACAGUUUCAGGGUUGGCUUUGUGGUCACAUGAAGGAUAAUGGAAUAACUGAAGCAUCAAAUGCAAUGUGGUAUCUUUGUCAGAUUAGGGUCGGAGAGGAGGCGGGGAGUGGGAAUGGGGAGUCCCAGACCACCAUAACUGCUCGGGAAGCUUGCACCUAACUCCUACCCACCCAGCAGCAGCACGUGCUGCCUGAGCAGCCAGAGCUGGUGCAGUCCAGAACACCCAACCCCUUUCCCGCACGCAGAAAGGCAGCAAGGGAACAAAGUCCCCAGCACGCGAUGGACCAGCAUUUUAGGUGGGGCUGGCGCAGUCUGGGAUUCAUUCUCCCUCCUCCCCCAGAAGGCAGAGGGGAAUAAAGUCUCCAGAGCGUCAGCUGGAGCCGACGCAGUCCGGGACUCCCUCUUUUCCCCCAUUCCCAGUCCGCACAGGAAGGCAUCAGGGACGUGAUGAACCAGGGUUUCAGGUAAGGAAUGAGAACCAACAAGAGGAGAGACUUCCAGUGUUGCUUCUUUGGUAGCCCAGCACUGGCC